CAAACAAUAGGGGCAAACAAGAGCUCCCCCACCAAACCCUAACUUGUGCCAAAUUGAUCAAAUUGGAGGUUCAAAUCAGUUCCAAAUCGAUUUUCAAGCACGAAAUUAUGAUCUCCUCUGAAAAGGGAUCAUAAGGAAAAGAAACCGGAGCGUCAAGUGGACAAGCCGGUGGUGACGCGCGCUUGAAAGGUAAAGAUGCACUUUAGACCUCGGAGGAUGAUCAAGCCAUGUCAAGAACCGAACACACCAAACAAAGCUUCCGCAUUUUGUCUAUUUUGUUUUAGUAACAUGUAAACACUUGAAACUAUGUUUUAAAAAUUAACUAGUAGCAUGAUGACUUGAAUAUUAUGAUCAUGUAAGGUCUUAAAAUCAUGAAACCUU